CGAAUGUUGUGUGGUUUUUAUUUCACUUGAUAUUUGUCUUUGGAAUUUCGUCUCUUUGUGCAUCGAUUCUGCAGUGAAAAAUAUUUUACAUAGAGGACUUCAAGACAUCUAUCUAGAAAUAAAGAAAAAAAAUAAGGGAUUUUUAUUCCGCUUUAAAUUUUUAGAUCAAAUUAAAAUCUUUAUUUUAAAGACCAAAUAAUUUAAAUUUAAAUCAUAGAAAUCUUUUAAAUAAUUUUAUUUGUUGAAAUUUUCAAAUUUUAACUUAAAAAAUAAAUAAAAGAAAAUCAAAUCAAACGGUUUCGCGUCGUGUAACUUGUGUAAUAAUAAAUCAAUAGUAUUUUGAUAAAUAAGUGUAACUUUGUGUUUGUUGUAAACGAGUAAGAACAAGAAGUAAAAGAAAAAUUGCUUCCAAACAAUU